GAUGAACGCUGACAGAAUGCUUAACACAUCAGCAAUUGAUUGGUGGCGGACGGGUGAGUAACGCGUAAAGAACUUACCUCACAGUUAGGGACAACAUUUGGAAACGAAUGCUAAUACCUAAUACUGUGAGAGAGCUUUGCGUCCCAUUAGCUAGUUGGAGAGGUAACGGCUCACCAAGGCGAUGAUGGGUAGCCGGCCUGAGAGGGUGAUCGGCCACAAGGGGCCAGGGACACGGCACUUACGCAUACGGGAGGAAGCAGUGGGGAAUAUGUGACAAUGGACCAAAGUCUGAUCCAGCAAUUCUGUGUGCACGAUGAAGUUUUCGGAAUGUAAAGUGCGUGGAGUUGGGAAGCGGUACCAACAGAAGAAGUGACGGCUAAAUACGUGCCAGCAGCCGCGGUAAUAC
rnacentral:rRNA from 1 species